rnacentral:rRNA from 1 species
UGGACAGGUGGUGCAUGGUUGUCGUCAGCUCGUGUCGUGAGAUGUUGGGUUAAGUCCCGCAACGAGCGCAACCCUCGACCUUAGUUGCCAGCAUUCAGUUGGGCACUCUAAGGUGACUGCCGGCUAAAAGUCGGAGGAAGGUGGGGAUGACGUCAAAUCAUCAUGCCCCUUAUGACCUGGGCUACACGCGUGCUACAAUGGGCGGUACAAAGGGUCGCGAACCCGCGAGGGGGAGCCAAUCCCAAAAAGCCGCUCUCAGUUCGGAUUGCAGGCUGCAACUCGCCUGCAUGAAGCCGGAAUCGCUAGUAAUCGCGGAUCAGCAUGCCGCGGUGAAUACGUUCCCGGGCCUU